GACGAACGCUGGCGGCGUGCUUAACACAUGCAAGUCGAACGGAAAGGCCCUGCUUUUGUGGGGUGCUCGAGUGGCGAACGGGUGAGUAACACGUGAGUAACCUGCCCUUGACUUUGGGAUAACUUCAGGAAACUGGGGCUAAUACCGGAUAGGAGCUCCUGCUGCAUGGUGGGGGUUGGAAAGUUUCGGCGGUUGGGGAUGGACUCGCGGCUUAUCAGCUUGUUGGUGGGGUAGUGGCUUACCAAGGCUUUGACGGGUAGCCGGCCUGAGAGGGUGACCGGCCACAUUGGGACUGAGAUACGGCCCAGACUCCUACGGGAGGCAGCAGUGGGGAAUAUUGCACAAUGGGCGGAAGCCUGAUGCAGCAACGCCGCGUGCGGGAUGACGGCCUUCGGGUUGUAAACCGCUUUCGCCUGUGACGAAGCGUGAGUGACGGUAAUGGGUAAAGAAGCACCGGCUAACUACGUGCCAGCAGCCGCGGUGAUACGUAGGGUGCGAGCGUUGUCCGGAUUUAUUGGGCGUAAAGGGCUCGUAGGUGGUUGAUCGCGUCGGAAGUGUAAUCUUGGGGCUUAACCCUGAGCGUGCUUUCGAUACGGGUUGACUUGAGGAAGGUAGGGGAGAAUGGAGUUCCUGGUGGAGCGGUGGAAUGCGCAGAUAUCAGGAGGAACACCAGUGGCGAAGGCGGUUCUCUGGGCCUUUCCUGACGCUGAGGAGCGAAAGCGUGGGGAGCGAACAGGCUUAGAUACCCUGGUAGUCCACGCUGUAAACGGUGGGUACUAGGUGUGGGGUCCAUUCCACGGGUUCCGUGCCGUAGCUAACGCUUUAAGUACCCCGCCUGGGGAGUACGGCCGCAAGGCUAAAACUCAAAGGAAUUGACGGGGCCCCGCACAAGCGGCGGAGCAUGCGGAUUAAUUCGAUGCAACGCGUAGAGCCUUACCUGGGUUUGACAUGGAUCGGGAGUGCUCAGAGAUGGGUGUGCCUCUUUUGGGGUCGGUUCACAGGUGGUGCAUGGCUGUCGUCAGCUCGUGUCGUGAGAUGUUGGGUUAAGUCCCGCAACGAGCGCAACCCUUGUUCACUGUUGCCAGCACGUUAUGGUGGGGACUCAGUGGAGACCGCCGGGGUCAACUCGGAGGAAGGUGGGGAUGACGUCAAGUCAUCAUGCCCCUUAUGUCCAGGGCUUCACGCAUGCUACAAUGGCUGGUACAGAGAGUGGCGAGCCUGUGAGGGUGAGCGAAUCUCGGAAAGCCGGUCUCAGUUCGGAUUGGGGUCUGCAACUCGACCUCAUGAAGUCGGAGUCGCUAGUAAUCGCAGAUCAGCAACGCUGCGGUGAAUACGUUCCCGGGGCU
rnacentral:rRNA from 1 species